rnacentral:lncRNA from 1 species
UUUUUUUUUUUUUAGAGAUUUGUAUUUAUUUAUUCAUGAGAGACACAGAGAGAGGGGCAGAGACAUAAGCAGAGGGAGAAACUCCCCUAUUGGGAGCCUGAUGGGAACUCCAUCCCAGGACCCUGGGAUCACGACUUGAGCCAAAGGCAGACAGUCAACCACUGAGCCACCCCAGAUGCCCCAUCACUUCUAUGUUUAAAUAUUCCAGUAUACUUCCUGUUGCUUAUGGGAUAAAGCCCAAAAUCACUUGGUAUGGUAUCCCUCUCUUUCCAACCUCAUCACCCAUCUUACUCAACAUAUGAAAGUUCUAGGAAUAACCCCCAACACAUGUAGUAACUGUAUAAUUUGUGCCUCUAUCAGAGAUUCUUGAUGCAGUUAAGAAUUUGUUAUGCUAUACAAUACACUAGGGAGCCUACAGAUUGAUUUCUGAAGUUCCCUAAACCUGCUGAAAUGAAUCUUACUCAUUUUGAGUAUAAAAUAUAUUAGAGCAUUUUUCAAGGGGAUAAGCUCCACAUCUUCUGCAAGAUUUUUAAGUGGGUCUUUUACAAUCUUAUGGUUAAGAACCAUGGUAAAUCUAUGAAAAGCCUGGGCACUAGAUAAUCAAAUUUAAUGAAAUAAUAUAUAAAAUAAGAAUGGAUGAUAGUGUUUUAGUCAGAUCAUCAAGUACAGAACCUCAUAAGAUGUAAACACUGAGGUCCAGGGAAUUAUAAGAACUCGCCUGGGAUUAUUUACACACAGAAUAACACAAUUUAGAUUUAAUUGUGCAUUACCUUCUCUGCUGUUUACUGUUUCAUAUGUUAAUGUUGCUUUUUUUCCAACCACAAUACAACGGAAGCUCUUUGAAAGCUGGAGCCUUGCCUUGGGGUGAUGAUGAUGAUGAUAAAGAUAAUUUAGAGGAAACUGAUUAAAUAAAAUGAUUAAUGGCAUAGGCUAAUUGUUAUUAAGCAUCAAACCAAGAUACAGGAAAUAUAUACUGUUACAUAUUGCUACUUCUUACAUAUUUAGAGCACUCAAUCUACUGCUUAAAAAUCCUGGAUAAUGAGAAUUUACUUAUUUUAAUUAAGUACAUUCAAUAAAUCAGGCAAUUUCCAAGUAAAUGAGAGAUUUUUUAAAUGAAAUACUUUUAAAAUGAUGGAACCACGGAUUUGCAGAUCUGAGAACACUUGCUUUUCAUGUUACCCAGUUGUUUAUGGAAUGAUUAAAGAAACAAAUAGCCACUUAGCUGAGAUAUCUUUUAUUAGGCUAUGGGAAGCAGAGGAACUUGCUUUACAUUUUUGUUUAACCUUUACCAGAUAUUUCAAAUCCUCUCAUUGUCCGUUUUACUGAUUUAUAAAAGGGUUUAGGAGUGGUUUUAUUUUGUUAGAGAACUAAAGUGCCCUCUUCUGUUUCUUCUCUGUCAUUACAACCAAAUAUCAGUUAAGAUCCUUAAUUUAAUAGGAAAGUUGUCCUGAUAGAAUUAAAGCAAUAAAUUCAUUCUGAUAAAACUAAAUUAAGACUAUGUAUUCUAAUUAUUAAAAAGGAAAUUAUAAUUGACUAAGCAUUUUUGAAGCACUUACACAUUUGAUAAUUUGAUCUGCAAAUAAAAUCCCAAAUAUUUGCCUUAAUCAUGUUGUCACUUAUGUUUUAAUCUUAAAAAUGCAAAUUCUACUUUAUAAAGGACACUUUCAACUUUUGGCAUUGGCUUUAAUUCAUUUUAGAUAGCCAAAACUUUUUACUAUAUUGACUAACACCUUUUUUUAAAAAGGUGAGUCAAAUAGAUAUAUUUCCAAUUUAAAUGUUCAGAAGCACAACAUAAUUGAGGGCCAAUCAUGAUUUUAUUAAUGUAAUUAACUAAAUUUACCACUGAUAAAAGAAUCUCCAUCUUGUUAAGAUGCCAUGUGAUUAAUAUCCUAAAUAACUUAAAAAUAUAACUUCUUUAGCUUGUUGCAAACUUAAAUUUUGAUUAAUAAUUAUGCAUACUAGCUCCCUUCACUGAAAGAUCUCGUUAGGUCAGAUUCAUUUUAACAGCUGUUACUAAUAACAUCAUUAAAUAAUAAAUAAAUGUUAUCUUCAAGUCUUAAUAUUUCAGUUAUCUACAUGCUGAGAGGCUUAGGACCUGUAGAGAACGUUCUUUUUAUGAGUUCAUAAAUCUAAUUAUUUCAGAAACAUUUCUUUCUUUCUUCCUGUCUUUUUCAUAGGACUAUUCCAUCACUGCCACAGUUUUAAAAAUUUUCUAGCUGUUGGUAGCUAUUCAGUUCUUGCACAAAGACACAAAUCCUGGCUGCCGGCCUUUUGGCAUCUGUUAAUAUUUUCAUAGACCUCAAUUGAACUUUCAGUCUGUUCUUGGAAUUUCAGAGGCUGACAAUAGAAACCACUUCUAUUUGUCUUUUAACCCUUUGCUUUUAAAUCCUUUCCAUAAUCCACUUGAAAGUACUGUACUAGCUGGUUUUUGGAGAGAGAGGGGGAAAAGAAGAAAAUCUAUGUUCCAUAAUGUUUGAGUCUCCCUUCUUUUUUCAUCCAGAGAAAAGCAAAUUAAGCAAACAUUCAAACUGGGGACAAUAUGGUGCUUAUAACUAAGAUUAAUAUUGGAUGAGCUUCAAACUUAGAACACAGUCAUUUGAGCCUCUCCUGGGUGCCAGAAUUAGUCAGCAGAAGCAGCCGUAAAAGCACAUACAAAAAAGGGAAAAUGGCUUAACAGUGUGGAGCUGAAGCAAGCAGGUCCUGCCAAAGAGUAGUGAGCUCAUACUUAACAAACUACAGAACUAGAAGUUUGCCAUAAUACACAGCUUCUUCUUGGGUCCAUCAGCUAGGCACUCCUACCUUUUCUGAAGCUGCAGGAAGAAUAGCUUUCAGUUUCCCUUGCUCACCCUCACUGACUCUGACUCCAAGGGAAGAGGCAUGGCCUGUCUGGUUGAUGACUGUUCUGUCCUGCUUCUCAAACGUCAGCAGGUCUGGAUCAGAGCUAAGACCAUCUCAAGGUAGGUGGAAGGCCAGUCUCCACAGCAGCAGUUUUAGGUGAAAGGGCCUCCUUUGCCCUCAUAGCCCUUGCUCUCAGGUAGAUUGUCCCCCUACCCAGGCCCUGGGCUAGGGCAACCUAUCGAGGACAUGCUGACAUAAGCUGUAGUCUCUAAUUCAAUGCCACUGGUAAUAAAAAUGUUAGGUGGACACUUGGAAAGUGAUGAAAAGCGAAUUUAUUAUGAUACAGUUUGUUUCUGAUGUAUUUUCCCCUGGGCUCAGAGAACAGUUGUAUUGUCAGCCACUGAGCCUGUAGGUUACAGACUUGGGCAAUGAGCUUUUUUAGCACAUCCACAUUGCAAAUCCUCUCAGCCAAUGAGGUUUUUGUUUUUACCACUCUAUACUCAAUGUGUGCUUCUACAAUGUGUGCCAUUUAAUUAGUUGUGGGUCAUCUUUCUGACAUUUGUGCUCUGGCAAACGUUUAGAAUUAUAAUGUCUGACAAGUGUGUGAAGGUAGAAAUGUGCAACCAAUUGCAAAUAACAGAAGCUUACCAUGAUGCAAAUUAAAAUUGAGCUUUAUAGCCUUAAAAGGAAUGUUUGCAGGAACACAGGAUAAAAAUAAGCAACAAUUUGGAAUUGGUGGAAGUUCUUUAAAAUCCUGUGGAUCAUUAUAAACUUUAUGGCAGCCCAGAAAGAUCGACUGAAAAUCAUGUCAAUAGGAGGUAGAAGAACAUGUGUACACUUUCAUAGGAUUUGAAGAGGAGAACAAGUGUUGGAUGCCAGAGGCAGCCUAUAUGUUUAGAAACUAAAAAAAAAAAAAA